ensembl:lncRNA
CUUCACCUGCCACUUGCUCUUCAGCCUGCUCUAGUCUGUCCCUGACGUUAGGUGGAAAUGGCUUUUGUCAAAGUCACAUUGUCAGGAUGUAGCCAAUUCUGUGGUCACUUUACUCUCUUCAUUUUACUGCAUCCAAUUUAUUUCUCUCAUAAAUUAAACCACAUUUUCUCUUGGCUUCCACACCAACACCAUGCUCUCUGGAUCUGCUCCUCUGCAUUCUCCUUUGGUGCCCCCUCCAGUGUCACCAGACUCCAGCAAGGCUUCCCCUCCCCUCCCUUCUCCUUUCUUUUCCCGUCCUCCCCUCCCUCCCCUCAUCUCUAUACAUAUUCACUCUGGGUAAUUUCUUCCCCUGGCUCUAAACAGUGUAUCUAUACCAAUGAUCACAAAUCUGUAUCCUCAGUCCUGACCUCUCACCUUGUCUCCCAACUUCUGUACUCAACUACCAUCGUACCUCUUAUAUGCUUGGGGAGAUGACAGCUACUCAGUGUUCUCAUACAAAAGUUAGAACUCCUGAUAUGCUCUCCCAAAACUUCCCUAUCUCUGUGUUAUCCUGAAUUUCCUGCGUUUUCUUUACUCCCAACUACAAACACAUCACUGAUGUCAGCCUGCUCUCCCCACAAUGUGUAACCUGAAUCUGUCCUCUCCUCUCCACCUGCAUGCCACCAACCUAGCCCACCACCGCUCCACACCCUGCAGUAGCCUUCUAACUGGAAUCUUGCAUCCACUCCUGCCCCCUACUGGUUAUUCCACACACAGCAGGUGGAAUGAUGUAUUUAGGAGGGACGUGGAUCACAUCGCUCGCCCUCUCACCCCACCAGCUUCUCAUUCUCAGAAGAAAUCUAGUCUUUCUCAUGGCCCACAGGCUCACACUCUGGCCUGUGCCCGCUCUUUACUCAUCUCCUGCCGCUCUGCUUCGGGUCUGCCUUUUCUUCCCGUUCCAGCUCCUGAGCCUCCACGCUAGCUGCUCCUCUGUGGUCCCCUGCGUAUCCGUACCUCUGGCAUACAGCACAGUCUUGAAGGUUUCAUCUGCCUGGAGAUUAGCCCUGAGCUAACAUCUGCUGCCAAUCCUCCUCUUUUUGCUGAAGAAGACUGGCCCUGAGCUCACAUCCGUGCCCAUCUUCCUCUAUAUGUGGGAUGCCUACCACAGCAUGCUUGCCAAGCGGUGCCAUGUCUGCACCUGGGAUCUGAACCAGCGAACUUCCAGCCACCGAAGUGGAACGCACAAACUUAACCGCUGUGCCACUGGGCCAGCCCCCGGUUUCUCUCUUUUAAAAAGAUAACCAGAGUUUGUCUCUUGCUUCAUUUUAUUUUAAGGUUAAAAAUUUCAUUGAGGGAAAAAAUAAUAUUUGAGAAUGAACUUUUCUUUUGAGAAUUCUUUAAUUUCUUUUUUAAACCGUAGAAUCCCCUAACAUAGAAAUUAGCGCUAUAACAUACAGGGUUUCAAUUUUACUUUGUUUCAUGCAUGUAUUACACUUAGAGUGAGAAGCAUCACAGAACUUUAAAUUCAACUGAAAAAUGAAACAGAAAAAUUUUAAAUCAACCCAGUCAAACCUUCCUGCUUCAUUCUGACUUGUCUGUGGAGCACACUCAGCUUGACCAUAAUUUGUCAGGUAAAAAAGAUUGCCUAAGGUUUGGAGCUUGUUACCCAGUCUCAUAUCUCACACUCUUCUUUCCACAGUCCUUGUAUACACCUGUAAGUCCCCAGCUCCUCCAAAUGCUCUUUGACCCAGCUUCACCAUCUCUCUGGUUCCCACGCUGAUGAGUUCAUACAGCUUAAACCUACACUUAUUCCCUUAUUUUAUUUUUGAACGAGAGUCAUUUUGAAAAACGUUUUGAAUAUGUACUUGACACACUUUUGGACUUUGUAUCCUUGUUUUGGUGGUGGGAUAUAAGCAAUUAUUUGUCAAAGUGCCAGUGGUGUGCUUUCUUGUGUCAGACCCUUCUUGGUCCUGGGGAGAGGCCACGGACCAAAUCCUCUCUCUGCUUUGCUCUUAUAUGUGGGUAGAAUGACAUAAACUGCCAGAAUAAAAUACUUUAUUUGUUUUCAUCUUGUGCUUUUUUGCAA